CCUACGGGCGGCUGCAGUGGGGAAUAUUGCACAAUGGGCGCAAGCCUGAUGCGGCCAUGCCGCGUGUGUGAAGAAGGCCUUCGGGUUGUAAAGCACUUUCAGCGGGGAGGAAGGCGUUAAGGUUAAUAACCUUGUCGAUUGACGUUACCCGCAGAGGAAGCACCGGCUAACUCCGUGCCAGCAGCCGCGGUAAUACGGAGGGUGCAAGCGUUAAUCGGAAUUACUGGGCGUAAAGCGCACGCAGGCGGUCUGUCAAGUCGGAUGUGAAAUCCCCGGGCUCAACCUGGGAACUGCAUUCGAAACUGGCAGGCUAGAGUCUUGUAGAGGGGGGUAGAAUUCCAGGUGUAGCGGUGAAAUGCGUAGAGAUCUGGAGGAAUACCGGUGGCGAAGGCGGCCCCCUGGACAGAGACUGACGCUCAGGUGCGAAAGCGUGGGGAGCAAACAGGAUUAGAUACCCCAGUAGUC
rnacentral:rRNA from 1 species